rnacentral:misc_RNA from 1 species
AUCAAGUAUAACAAGAGGUCCAGCAACUCCAGAUACAGUUCUGUACUCCAUGCCGAUCUCUAGCGUUCCCUCCUCCAUAUCGUAAUUGUUUUGCGCCACACCCAUUAUUAUAUCAAUUGUUUGGUAUCAAAGUUGAAAUCAAAUUAAGAUCUUUUGUUUUUGAUCUAAUACACGCAGGCACAGCACAGAGCCACAGAGGGAUGCAGGGAGGGA